AGGGAGUUUGAUCCUGGCUCAGAACGAACGCUGGCGGCGCGUCUUAAGCAUGCAAGUCGAGCGGUAAGUUGGAAGCUUGCUUCUAACCUAGAGCGGCGGACUGGUGAGUAACGCGUGGGUGACGUACCUCUGUGACGGGGACAGCUCCUAGAAAUAGGAGAUAAUACCGGAUACGCUGUGUGUUGUCAGAGGACACACAGGAAAGGAUCUUUUGAUUCGCACAGAGAGCGGCCCGCGUACUAUUAGCUAGUUGGUGAGGUAACGGCCCACCAAGGCGACGAUAGUUACCCGGCCUAAGAGGGUGAUCGGGCACAUUGGGACUGAGAUACGGCCCAGACUCCUACGGGAGGCAGCAGCUAAGAAUAUUCCGCAAUGGACGAAAGUCUGACGGAGCGACGCCGCGUGGAUGAUGAAGGCCGGAAGGUUGUAAAAUCCUUUUAGGUGUGAGGAAUAAGGAGGAUGAGAGAAACGUCCUCUGGUGACGGUAGCACCUGAAUAAGCAACGGCUAAUUACGUGCCAGCAGCCGCGGUAACACGUAAGUUGCGAGCGUUGUUCGGAAUUAUUGGGCGUAAAGGGUAUGUAGGCGGUUCUGCAAGUCUGGUGUGAAAUGCCGGGGCUCAACCCCGGAACUGCGUUGGAAACUGCAGGACUUGAAUCGCUGAGGGGCAGCCAGAAUUCCAGGUGUAGGGGUGAAAUCUGUAGAUAUCUGGAAGAAUACCAAUGGCGAAGGCAGGCUGCCAGCAGAUGAUUGACGCUGAGGUACGAAGGUGCGGGGAGCAAACAGGAUUAGAUACCCUGGUAGUCCCCU
rnacentral:rRNA from 1 species